rnacentral:rRNA from 1 species
AUUGAACGCUGGCGGAAUGCUUUACACAUGCAAGUCGAACGGCAGCACGGGGGCAACCCUGGUGGCGGGUGGCGAACGGGUGAGUAAUACAUCGGAACGUGCCCGGUCGUGGGGGAUAACGUAGCGAAAGUUACGCUAAUACCGCAUACGAUCUGAGGAUGAAAGCGGGGGACCUUCGGGCCUCGCGCGAUCGGAGCGGCCGAUGUCAGAUUAGGUAGUUGGUGGGGUAAAGGCCUACCAAGCCGACGAUCUGUAGCUGGUCUGAGAGAACGACCAGCCACACUGGGACUGAGACACGGCCCAGACUCCUACGGGAGGCAGCAGUGGGGAAUUUUGGACAAUGGGCGCAAGCCUGAUCCAGCCAUUCCGCGUGCAGGACGAAGGCCUUCGGGUUGUAAACUGCUUUUGUAUGGAGCGAAAAGGCUCUGGCUAAUACCUGGGGCUCAUGACGGUACCGUAAGAAUAAGCACCGGCUAACUACGUG